rnacentral:rRNA from 1 species
GCAAGUCGAGGGGUAACAGGUAGCUUGCUAUGCUGACGACCGGCGCACGGGUGCGUAACGCGUAUACAAUCUGCCUAUCACUGAGGGAUAGCCCGAAGAAAUUUGGAUUAACACCUCAUAGUAUUAUAGAAUCGCAUGGUUUUAUAAUUAAAGGUUACGGUGAUAGAUGAGUAUGCGUCCUAUUAGCUAGAUGGAGAGGUAAAGGCUCCCCAUGGCUACGAUAGGUAGGGGUCCUGAGAGGGAGAUC